CACGCACUGGCGGGGGCGGGGCCCGCUGCGCGUGUGGCCCUGGAAGAGGGUAAGGCCUGAUGGAGGAGGCGCCACCUUGAGGUCAAGCUGCUAGGUGGGGCCUCAGGGUCACCCCUCCCCGGGUGGGUCGUCGCGACCUGUGCCUGAGCGGAGCCGGACGGGGGCACUGUGUCUUCAGCCGGUGCCUCAGGCUUCCUCUGUCAGCUGUCUUCCAGUCUCAAGGUUGAGAAGCCUGCCGGGUUGCCUUUUGCACAGUCACAAGUGAAAGAAGAAAUGCAAGCAAAAGGGGUUGGAUAACCCGAGGUUGUGCUAAAUGUCACAGUGAGAAUGGGUCUAGUGUGCUGGUAUUUGGAGCUGCCACAGCAGAGGAAUCUUCCCUCCACUGUCCUGAACACGAUGGCCUCAGCUGGUGUUUGGAACUUUUUUCCAGCAAGAUUCACAAAGCUCCAGGAGAGUCUGGCUCACUCAGACUGGGUCAGGGCAAGGCCUGAGCACUUAUGACAUCACUGUUUCCAGGAGGGUACAGACAGCUGGCUGGGGGACUGAUCAGCAUUUUGACUUUCUUAUGACAGUUUCCUAGGACGCAAGGAAUUUAUUCUCUUGGGAGAUGAUACGACCGUAGCUCACCACUCCUCCCACACUUAAACUUUCUGUAGUUCAGGGUGUGUUUUGGAAUAUUGUGAAAUGAAGAAAACACCCUGUUAAAUGUCAGAUUUUUCACUCAGUGUUUUCUAUGCUUUCCUAACAUUUAUACAGUCCAUCAGAGGAUUUUGACCUAGAGAGUUUAUCUAGAAUGUGGGAUUUUGGGAGUGAUACACAAGAAUGAGUAAAUACAUAGUCCUUCACAACCGACUCCAACCUGAAAAGCACAUAAGUCACUGAAUGAAAUAAACUAGAAAGUAUAGCUUAAUUUUAAAAAUGGCAAGGGAAAAAAAAGUAGGGUUUUAAUGCUGACUUAGAGGUAGUGUGUCAUGAAUGAAAAUAAUCUCAGGAACUAAAGAGGCAGAGUCAGGAAUAUCUCAAGUUCCAGACCAGGCUGGCUACAUAAACACUAUAUAGGAAAACUGAGAGGAGGGAAAGAUUUACUUGGAUUCUCAGAGUCGUUGUCUAAUUAAUUUCUGUGUCACACAGCAUUGACUUACUCAAUUUAUUCUAGACAACUCAGCAUAACAGAUGAGAACAUGAACUCCAAUGCCAGACAGCAUGAGUUUGAAUUGUGGUGCUGUCUACAGUCACUAGUUUAAUGCUAUUAACAAGUUACUUGAUGCCUUUGGGCCCCAUCAGGGAUAAUAAGAAGACCUACCUAUUAGGGUUGCUGUGAGGAUUAUUAUUUUUAUACUACUAUUUUAAAAAUAGGUGUCUUAAAAAAAAAAGAUUCACUUACUUAUUAUGUAUGUAAUGUUCUGUCUGCAGGUAUUCUUGCAGGCCAGAAGAGGGCACCAGAUCUCAUUUCAGAUAGUUGUGGACCCACAAAGUGGUUGCUGGGAAUUGAACUUGGGACCUCUAGAAGACCAGCUAAUGUUCUUGACCACUGAGCCAUCUCUCCAGCCCCUAUUUCCACAAUACUUAAGAGUAAUAUCUAACAAUAAAAACUGCAAAUCUUUGCUUGAGAGAUAGUAUUUGCUGAGCUUAACUAGGUGUCCGGAAAUAGGGUAUGAGUUUGAAGAGAUUGUUUACUAUCCUUGAAUUUGGUCAGGACUCAUUUCUAAUUAACAGUUUGCAAAAGGUAAUCUGACUACUUAAAUAAAUUAACAAAUAUCAUUUGAAAUUAAAUCCACAGGCAUUACAACCCUACUUACUUCUCUAGUCCACUCACUCCACCAUUCUCUAGUCCAUCACUCCACCAUUCUCUAGUCCAUCACUCCACCAUUCUCUUAGGCGACUCCAUUUUUCCCUGAAACUCCUAUUACUUCCCACACCCUCACUCUUAACAGAUAAAUUUGUUCUUCCUUUCACUGAGAAAUGAUCACAAGGGAACUUUCACAGACCCCACCACAACCACAUCCACCUAUUUACUGUAUCUGUGCCUAUGCUUUUUCGUCAAGUGCUCACGAUAACCUUGCUCGUGGUCCAAUCCUACUACCUGUGUAUGAAUGUUCAUGCAGAGAGCAGAGAACAACUUUAGGUGUCAUCCUCAGGACCACCUUCCGCCUCUUUUUGAGUCAGGGUCUCUCAUGAGCCUGGAACUCAGGAAUUAGGCUAUACUGUCUGCCAGUGAGCCCCAGGGAUCCUCCUGUCUCCAUUUUCCCUAAGACCACAGCAUCAUGCUGGCUGCUGCUGCUUCUCCUCUCCUCUUAAAUGUUUGUUUGUUUUUAUGUGUUGGAGUGUUUUGUCUCCUUUUAAAUGUAUGUUUGUUUUUAUGUGUUGGAGUGUUUUGUCUACAUCUAUAUGAAUGUAUGCCAUGUAUGUACUUGGUACCCAGAGAGUCCAGAAGAGAGUAUUUGAGCCUCAGCAAUGGGUGUAAAAUGGGUGUUGGGAAUAGGACUCCAACUCUUUGAAAGAGCAGCAAAUGCUCAUAACUACUGAGCCAACCUUCCAGCCCCAUACCUGGCUUUUUGUCUGAGUUCUGGGGAUUGAUGUAUGGAUUCAGGCAUUUUGCUGGCCUGCCCCUGUCACCUGGCAGAAUGCACUCAGGCAGUACCCUGGUCAGCCCAGAGUCUGCACACAGGUGUAAAGGACCCCUGUAAAAGAAAGACACCCUCACCCCUCACCCUGCUCUUUCCCCCUAUUCCCCUGGGGCAGCCAGGACUUUUCCUUUCUCCCUCUUCUCUCCUGUCCUCUCGCUCUCUCUCUGUCUCUAUGUCUCUUUACCUCUUUUCUCUUUAUUUCCCCCUCCCUCCCUCCCUAAUAAAACUUCUCACAUAAGCUCUGUCUGCCGGGCAUGUUUG
ensembl:lncRNA